rnacentral:lncRNA from 1 species
GUGUGCCAGCCUCAGCCAAGUUAACUGUAUGCUGCGGGAACAACUGGAGCAGACAGGCAUUGUCAACCACGGGCUGACAGAGAGCUUAAGGAAGGCUCGUGAAGAUGCUGAGUUGUGUGAUAGCCGUUUGCGCAGAGAACAAGAGGUGAGAAAAAACCCAAACAUUUAGUGUUUGAGUCAGAAACCGGGAAAGCUAAGGUUUAUCCCUCUCUGCAAAGAGAUUGUGCAAUUAAACUCCUGUUGAGUUCACAUGGGGUAGGAAUUCCAUUCAUAGCCAGUUUUGUCAAUUCAUACUCAUUCCCUGUUCGUUUCAGUGCUAUGAGUUUUGAGUUGUUGUUUCCUGUGAAAACAUUCCAACUGCUGAGGGGGAGGAACAUUUUGUGCAAACAAUCUGCCGUUCGUGCUGUAAAUGGGCUACAUCUGUUGAUUCAGGGAAAUCCAAUUAUUUGUAUGUGUGCCAGUGUGCCAGAGUCCAGGAGUUCUAGUAUUGCGUCUGUUUGGGAUCACAAUAAAAUGAGAGGUGCCAUCAUUUUGCUGUAAGAAAUCUUUGCCACCCACCCUUCAGUCUCUUCCAGUCCCUUUGCUGUCUGCUUCUCUCUGCAGACGUGCGCCUCCCAUCUCAGUCGUGAACAGGCUCGUGUCAGAGCACUGUGGCGCCAGGCCGCUUCCCUGCGGAGCACUUUCACCCAGCUAAGGACGUUCACUGACAGGGCUCUGUCUGAUAUGCGGGGGGAGUGUGUCGCUGCCAGUCGGCAGCUGCAUGUGGCCUGCAUGAACUUGGAGGCCAAAGUAACACAGGACAGCACCUCUAGUUGUGUGGAGAUGUCAGCAUUGGAGAGGCAGCUGAAAGACAAACUAAAAGAGGCCAUGCAGCUUCAGGGUCGCUGGGAUGCAGAGAAAAUUGAACUUAACUACAGAAUCCUGGAGCUGACUGAUAUGGUGAAACACCUCCGCAGCCAAAACAGUGAGAAGGAUGCCAGCCUCAGCACCAUGCAGAUCAGUCUGGACAGGAUGGUGGGGCCUUGGGAAUCAUGACUGGGAGGUGGCAGAUAGAUUAGGUGGUUUAGAGGGCUAAAGCACAUGUAGUCUGGACGUUAGGCUUGAUAAACUCCACAACUUCCAUGUCUAGAGGGCUGCCGUCUGGGGAAUGUCAGGUUUGCUGUAUGUGUGCUGCUUAUCUGACCUUAAUGGUUUCCUGCUCAGGAGACCAGGAGAACAGAGGACAAAGCAGGGAUGGAGGUCCUCCACACAGAGAUCGAAGGCCUCCAAAGGAUUCUAUCCAAUGUUCAACAGGUCAGAACAAACAAAUGCACUUAACUAGAUUAUGCAUUAG